rnacentral:lncRNA from 1 species
CAAAAUCUUUGUCACCAAUCAGGAUUCCAGAACCACUCUUUGAGUUUGCUCUGUUACUGAAGUCUCAUUGAACUCUGUGCAUGAUAAGAAGAGCAGUAAAGGGAGACUGCAAAGUCCGUGCCCUCCUUUGAGAGGCCAAAGAAGGAGGCACAUCAAGCAGUGCUGUGUUUUGGGAAAUACUGAUCAACUGGGACCCAGAAACAGGCAACGAAAAGACUUCACUGGCUCCAAAUGGCAAAUUCCCUUUCUCUGAAAGGGCAAAAUGAAAGGAGACAGGCACGUGAAGACCUGCAGUGCUAUCGAUAACUUGGCCCCCAGCCUUCACCACAUGCCCAGCUCUGCCAGUGUGGAGACCUGCUUUGAUUGACUGACUUCCUAGAGAAGAGCAUCAAGCCAGGACUUCUGCAAAAGACAGGCACAGUUCUUCCCCUCCCUUUAGGGGUAGGAGCUGGAUUAGAGUGGGGAAGAAUGGGAACAGCAGAAAUCAUCCUCGCAGGAGAAGGAGGGAACUGACAGAGCCUUGUAUCUCAGACCUGCGGAGUGGGAAGUCAAGCAGGCAGCCCAAAGGCACCACAGCCAGAAGAGAAACAGGAGGAGGAUGUGGAAAUAAUUGGAAAUCCCUGGGUUCCAGAAAGUCAGUGGAGAACAUGCCAGCACCCUUAAGCUAAGGAGGGCCCUGGGAGAGGGUGCAGUUUGCAUGUUUGGAAGGAGAGAGGGAAGUGCGUGUUAAUAAGGCAGAGUGAAGGUCUGUGAACUGCAGGAGAGGCAUUGGAGGUGGGAACCACACCCUGCCUCGAAUUCCGUCAUCCAAUCUGGCUGCAGCAGGAGCCCACACAGAAAAGCUCUUUCAAUCCCCUCCCUGUCAGCCGUCUCCACGCUGCUUUUGGGCUCUGCAAAUGGCUAAUGUGAAGCAUGGGUGGUGUGUGUGUGUGUGUGCUGUGUUUUGUGUCAGCUUAUAAAGCUUUGAAGUUGAAAACUUGUUUUUAAAAUAAAUUUCCUUGUGUUGUG